CCUGCCCAGCAGAACGACCCGCGAACCGUCGUCAAAACGCGUCGGGGGGCGGGCCGGGCCGAUAACCCCGCCCCCUUCCCGACGCAGCCCGCCGCGCGGCCUCGGCCGCCCGCGGGAACAACACCCACCCCCGGCGCAGAACGCGCCAAGGAAAACAAACUAAGGAGGAACAUUCCCGUGCUGUCGGACACGGCUAGCACGCGGACGUUCCGCCAAAGGUCGAAAAAAAACGACUCUCGGCAACGGAUAUCUCGGCUCUCGCAUCGAUGAAGAACGUAGCAAAAUGCGAUACUUGGUGUGAAUUGCAGAAUCCCGUGAACCAUCGAGUCUUUGAACGCAAGUUGCGCCCGAAGCCUUUCGGUCGAGGGCACGUCUGCCUGGGUGUCACACAACGUCGUCCCCAAACCCGACCCCCUCUCCCACGACGGGGGGGAGUCGGGAGGGACGGAAGCUGGUCUCCCGUGGCGAUCCGUCGCGGUUGGCCGAAUUCAAAGUCCUGGCACGGAAAGCCGCAACGACCGGUGGUUGGAACAUCCUCGAUCGAUGCGUUGCGGCCGUUCCCGCGCGGAGAAGGGCUCCGGACCCACGGCGCUCCGGCGCUUUCGAUCGCGACCCCAGGUCAGGCGGGAAUCACCCCGCUGAGUUUAAGCAUAUCAAUAAGCGGAGGAAAAGAAACUUACCCAGGAUUCCCCCUAGUAACGG
rnacentral:rRNA from 1 species